UGCAGUCGAGCGGAACGAUGGUAGCUUGCUACCAGGCGUCGAGCGGCGGACGGGUGAGUAAUACUUAGGAAUCUACCUAGUAGUGGGGGAUAGCACGGGGAAACUCGUAUUAAUACCGCAUACGACCUACGGGAGAAAGGGGGCAGUUUACUGCUCUCGCUAUUAGAUGAGCCUAAGUCGGAUUAGCUAGAUGGUGGGGUAAAGGCCUACCAUGGCGACGAUCUGUAGCUGGUCUGAGAGGAUGAUCAGCCACACCGGGACUGAGACACGGCCCGGACUCCUACGGGAGGCAGCAGUGGGGAAUAUUGGACAAUGGGGGAAACCCUGAUCCAGCCAUGCCGCGUGUGUGAAGAAGGCCUUUUGGUUGUAAAGCACUUUAAGCAGUGAAGAAGACUCUUUGGUUAAUACCCACGGACGAUGACAUUAGCUGCAGAAUAAGCACCGGCUAACUCUGUGCCAGCAGCCGCGGUAAUACAGAGGGUGCAAGCGUUAAUCGGAAUUACUGGGCGUAAAGCGAGCGUAGGUGGCUUGAUAAGUCAGAUGUGAAAUCCCCGGGCUUAACCUGGGAACUGCAUCUGAAACUGUUAGGCUAGAGUAGGUGAGAGGGAAGUAGAAUUUCAGGUGUAGCGGUGAAAUGCGUAGAGAUCUGAAGGAAUACCGAUGGCGAAGGCAGCUUCCUGGCAUCAUACUGACACUGAGGCUCGAAAGCGUGGGUAGCAAACAGGAUUAGAUACCCUGGUAGUACACGCCGUAAACGAUGUGUACUAGUCGUUGGGUCCCUUGAGGACUUAGUGACGCAGCUAACGCAAUAAGUAGACCGCCUGGGGAGUACGGCCGCAAGGUUAAAACUCAAAUGAAUUGACGGGGGCCCGCACAAGCGGUGGAGCAUGUGGUUUAAUUCGAUGCAACGCGAAGAACCUUACCUGGUCUUGACAUAUCUAGAAUCCUGCAGAGAUGCGGGAGUGCCUUCGGGAAUUAGAAUACAGGUGCUGCAUGGCUGUCGUCAGCUCGUGUCGUGAGAUGUUGGGUUAAGUCCCGCAACGAGCGCAACCCUUGUCCUUAGUUACCAGCGGGUUAAGCCGGGAACUCUAAGGAUACUGCCAGUGACAAACUGGAGGAAGGCGGGGACGACGUCAAGUCAUCAUGGCCCUUACGACCAGGGCUACACACGUGCUACAAUGGUAGGUACAGAGGGCAGCUACACAGCGAUGUGAUGCGAAUCUCAAAAAGCCUAUCGUAGUCCAGAUUGGAGUCUGCAACUCGACUCCAUGAAGUAGGAAUCGCUAGUAAUCGCGGAUCAGAAUGCCGCGGUGAAUACGUUCCCGGGCCUUGUACACACCGCCCGUCACACCAUGGGAGUUGAUUGCACCAGAAGUGGAUAGCUUAACC
rnacentral:rRNA from 1 species